AAAUUUAACCCCAAAACCUAAGAAAACCAAAUGCCUCCCUAACCAGGUUUAACAGAAAGCGUUUCAUCACUGAUGACUUGAACACUUUGCUAAGGGGACAGAGAAUCCUUCAUUACCUGAGGAAAACUUGGAAAGAAUUUAAACAAUCAGUGCAUGUGAAAGAAAAAAUUCUUCUCGUGAAGACUGAGACAAUGACAAUGAAUAGAUAUGGACAGAGAGUUAUGAUGCCCUGUGCAAGAUCCAGCUCAGGGCUGUUCAAAUUUGAGCUUCAGUAUUUCCUGAGAUACUUUGUUCCUUAGACUGCCCCAAGCACAACAGUUUUUAUGGCGAGUGAAAAAUGUGCUUUGUGGAAUUGUACAGGACCAUCAAAAUCAUUACAGAUCUGACCCUAUGAAGGGUUGGGUAAAUCCUGUGAGACAGAUGCACUGUACUAUUAAACCCCAUCUAAUGAUUUCAUUUAUUAAAAAAAGUUGAGGACAACUAGUCUUGGAGCAUCAGACCUCAGUUCUCUGGCUCAGACUCCCAUGAACGUUGUUCUCUCUUAGAUGUUGUUCUCACUUAUAUCCACUGAAAACAAUGGCAAAAUACACACCGACUUUCAAAAGAAUAGGAUUAGGAUUACCUCRUUUUGCAAUCUAUGGAUGUAUUUAGUGUUAGUUUUGAGUAGUGAAUGUCACUAGGUAAAACACCUGAAAUGCAUGUGGCUGUAUUUAAAGGCUAGUAUUUAAAGUUUUCCUCU
rnacentral:lncRNA from 1 species